rnacentral:misc_RNA from 1 species
GAUGAAGAACGCAGCGAAAUGCGAUACUUGGUGUGAAUUGCAGAAUCCCGUGAACCAUCGAGUCUUUGAACGCAUGUUGCGCCCGAAGCCAUUAGGCCGAGGGCACGCCUGCCUGGGCGUCACACGUCGUUGCCCCCCCAUCUACUCCUUCGGGAUUGCGGGGGGCGGAUGAUGGCCUCCCGUGCGCCUCGUCGCGCGGUUGGCAUAAAUGCCAAGUCCUCGGCGACGCACGCCACGACAAUCGGUGGUUGCGAAACCUCGGUUGCCCGUCGUGUGCGGUCGUCGCGCAUCGAGGGCUCGAAAAAAUUGCCGGGCUCCGGCUCGGCUUUCAACGCGACCCCAGGUCAGGCGGGGUUACCCGCUGAAUUUAAGCAUAUCAAUAAGCGGAGGA